UGAAGGAAAAUCCCAAGAAAACAGAGAUUAUGAGAUCAGAGGAAGCAAAGUGAGCAAAGUAUUCAAUGCAUUUGGUGCAAUUUCAGCUAUCAUAGUUUGCAACACCUCUGGUAUACUAUUGGAGAUACAGUCAACUCUUCGCAGUCCUGCAACUGUGAACAUGAGGAAUGCAUUAUAUGUACAAUACACAGUGGGCCUUGCAGUUUAUUAUGGUGUGAGUGUAGCAGGAUAUUGGGCCUAUGGUUCAACGGUAUCUGAUUACCUGCCCAAAGAGUUAGGUGGGCCCAAAUGGAUCAAAGUCCUCAUUAACUUAGCAGUCUUGGUCCAAUCUAUAAUCUCUCAACAUGUAAGUUUUCUUUUUUUUUUUUUUUUUGGGUAAU